AAUAGAUACCCCGGUAGUCCACGCCGUAAACGAUGAGUGCUAAGUGUUAGAGGGUUUCCGCCCUUUAGUGCUGCAGCAAACGCAUUAAGCACUCCGCCUGGGGAGUACGGUCGCAAGACUGAAACUCAAAGGAAUUGACGGGGGCCCGCACAAGCGGUGGAGCAUGUGGUUUAAUUCGAAGCAACGCGAAGAACCUUACCAGGUCUUGACAUCCUUAUGCCAUCUCUAGAGAUAGAGCUUUCCCUUCGGGGACAUAAGUGACAGGUGGUGCAUGGUUGUCGUCAGCUCGUGUCGUGAGAUGUUGGGUUAAGUCCCGCAACGAGCGCAACCCUUGAUCUUAGUUGCCAGCAUUCAGUUGGGCACUCUAAGGUGACUGCCGGUGACAAACCGGAGGAAGGUGGGGAUGACGUCAAAUCAUCAUGCCCCUUAUGACCUGGGCUACACACGUGCUACAAUGGAUGGUACAAAGGGCAGCGAAACCGCGAGGUUAAGCCAAAUCCCAUAAAAACCAUUCUCAGUUCGGAUUGC
rnacentral:rRNA from 1 species